rnacentral:lncRNA from 1 species
AAGCGUAUAAUUUAUUAUAAGGUUUUAAAAGGCACAUCGCUGCCGAUCGCAGGACGCCACUCCCCAGAGUUUUCAGCCGCCCCUAAACCAAUAUCACCGAAAUCA